GGUUCGCAGUAAACCUGACCACAUUUGUGGUAUGGCAGUUGCCUAGCAGAAGGUGCUAUUAUGAAAGUGAGAGAGUAGAGUGAGAGAAGCAGAGGAAGAGAGAAAUGAAGAUGUUGGGUUAGUCCCACAAUGCAUUUCAUUAGCGUGACCUGUGUCGAAGUGGUUUCAUCUGUCUUAGUGGCACGUCAGCAAGAGACAGACACACAGUCUUUCCUUUCUCCCUUCCUUUUCUCCUUCCUCAGUCUCACUGGAUAAGGAAGGGCAGUGUUUCUGUAACUGAGCCAGCACUUCCUGGUGUUGUUUUGGGGGGGUGUGGCUUUCCUUCAGUGAGGAAGAGAGGGAGGGAGUGGGGACUGCAGGAUCUGUAUGCCCAGUGCAGUCAAGACUCCCUCCUCCUCCUCUUGUUCCUACUCGUCGUCCUCCUCCUCCUCUUCCACAGCUGUUGCUACUGCCGCCCAGCGAGCGCCACUUUCCUCAGGCAGCAGACAGACGAUCCAGAGUCUGGGGAGUCGGUAAAGACCCAGCCCAGCCCGUCUCAGCACAGUUCAGCUCAGCCACUUCAAGAGCCAGGGGAGGGGAGACAGUAGCGCACAUAGCCAACGCUGCAACGCACACACUCACACAGACAAACACUCCUCCUCUCUCUCUCUCUCUCUCUCUCUCUCUGGUGCUCUGCUCUGCACAGCUCCCCUACUCAUUCGCUGCUGAUUCACUCGCUCACUCGCUUGCCUCUCUUCUGCCAUUCGCUCUGCCUUGCUGUGCUCUGCCUGCCUGCCUGAGAAUGGUCCAGCCGGUGCCUGGGGGUCUACUGUCGUGGCCUGUCUGAACACACGCAUAGACACACAGAGUCAGUCGACACGCGGAAGCACACACACACAAACUGGAGAGCAAUGUGAGAGAGGAAGUGCCUUCCCUGAUGUCUGCUGCAGCUUUGACCUGCUUCUACAGCUGAAGCUCCACCCUCCCCCCCCACCUCGCUCGCUUGCUGCCACCGGAACACG